rnacentral:lncRNA from 1 species
UAUUAUUUUACUAUUUGGAUGAAUGUGUAGGGCAGUGCUUCCUUGGCACUGGGGAUAUUUCAUUGAGCAAAACUAAAAAUAUCUUCCCUCAUGGAGUUUAUGUUAUAGUAAGACAUACGUGUACCUCUAUAAUAACUAUUACGUUAGAAGGUAUAAAGUAUUGUGAAAAAUAUAUAGAGCAGUAGUGGAGUGGGAAGAAAUGUUUUGAAAUAGAGCUUGAGAUUCUUGAUUGUCUUGCCCUCUACUUGAACAGUGUCUUCUAGGAAGCCCAGACACAUGGAGAAGUUCUGAGUGUUUUGGCCGAUAGUCCCAGAUGAGGUUCCAGCAACAGCUGGGAUCACCCAUGAGAUGUGAGUGAGGAAGGCUUUGAGAUGGUUUCAGCCCUAGCCACCACUGACCUCAUAAGAGACCACAAGAAUGAGAAUCACCUGGCCAAGCCCAGCAGACCUUCAGAAUUCAGAAAUAAAAUAAUUCAUCUUAUUUUAAGCCACUGUGUUUUGGU